rnacentral:rRNA from 1 species
GAUGAACGCUGGCGGCGUGCCUAAUACAUGCAAGUCGAGCGAAUGGAUUAAGAGCUUGCUCUUAUGAAGUUAGCGGCGGACGGGUGAGUAACACGUGGGUAACCUGCCCAUACGACUGGGAUAACUCCGGGAAACCGGGGCUAAUACCGGAUAACAUUUUGAACCGCAUGGUUCGAACUUGAAAGACGGCUUCGGCUGUACCUUAUGGAUGGACCCGCGUCGCAUUAGCUAGUUGGUGAGGUAACGGCUCACCAAGGCAACGAUGCGUAGCCGACCUGAGAGGGUGAUCGGCCACACUGGGACUGAGACACGGCCCAGACUCCUACGGGAGGCAGCAGUAGGGAAUCUUCCGCAAUGGACGAAAGUCUGACGGAGCAACGCCGCGUGAGUGAUGAAGGCUUUCGGGUCGUAAAACUCUGUUGUUAGGGAAGAACAAGUGCUAGUUGAAUAAGCUGGCACCUUGACGGUACCUAACCAGAAAGCCACGGCUAACUACGUGCCAGCCGCCGCCGUAA